rnacentral:misc_RNA from 1 species
AUUUUAUUUGUUUAUACUGUGUUUUGACUUUCAUUUGACACUGGAGUCUCCGAGAACAACAGUGAUGGCUGACUGUCAACACUAGACGGGGAUGUGCAGCCCCUUCGCCUUAUAGCAACCUUAUUUUGAGCUGAAUACUAUAGAUAUACGAGCUUCAGUUGUGUGUCCUCAUCAUGUCCACUGACCCAGCCACAUUUGUGGCUGGUGUCCCUGUGAAGAUUAGUGAGAAGUAUAGGCCUCCACGGAAAAUAAGUCUCCCAGCCUCCUGCCAGCACCAGAUUAACUCAGAGCUCCUCACCCAAGAUUAUGAUUUCGCUGUGGAGAAAACUACAAUUCAGUGGGUGCAGGAACGAAGAAAUAGGAUAGAGAAAGAGGAAAGAAAGCGACAAGAAAGAAUAGCUAAAUAUGAACAGAAGAAAGCAGAAAUUAAAGCAAAAGAGGAGGAGGAAGAGAGACUGAGAAAAGAAAAAGAAGAAAUUAUUAAACAGGAAAAGGAGAAUGAGAGACUCAAAAAGGAGGAGGAGGAAAAGAGCAGACUGGAAGAGGAAGAGGAUAUCAGAAGAUUGGAGGAAGAAGUAAAUCAGGAAGAACAAACUCAGGAAACAGAAAAGACAAACAAAGAUGAUGCUGAGGAAGUGACUGCCACCACCAACGCUAGCCAAAUGGGUGAGAUAAAUGGUAAUGACUCAAUAGCAACAAGUGGCAUUAAUCAGAUUAGUCCUGAGGUUGCAUCACACGAAGCUCCACAGGCUUUUUCCGCUUCCACAUCUGAAGAAACAAGUUAUUGUUCAAGCGGUGUAAUUAACAAUGCUAGCAUAGCUUGCAGAACUGAGACGACUAAUGUAUCUAAUAAUGCAUCAUCUUAUGGCCUUAUGCUUCAACCAACACCAUUUCCAUCUAAUAAGUCUGUAAGGUCUCCCUCUAAAACACCAGCUAAUAUUAAUUUUGCUGACUUUGAAGGGGAAGGUAAUGAUCCUUUUGACAGUGCCGCUUUAAAAUCAAUCAAUGAUAUGGAGGAGCUUGCUAAAGUACUUGAUUCAUCACACAUCACUCAAAAACCUGUGGAAGGAACAAACUCUGCACAGGCUCCUACUAAGGAGAGCCAAACAUAUCAUAAUGUAUACCCAAAUGGACAAUUAACAUAUGGUGCAUUUGGACAGUAUCCAUACUUCAUGCCUCCACAACAGCAGCAUCUGCAACAAUCAUUACAACAGCAGAAUAUGACACAGCAGAGGCCAGGGUUCCCACAGUAUGGAAAUCAUUUGGCUAAAAAUCCUCAAGUAACCCAAACAUCUUCCACACCUUCUUCAUCAGAUCCACAAUAUGCCAAGGAUCCUGCCAGGACUUUCCAAAACAAAUACUAUCCUCAGCCUUGGGGGAGUGGAUAUAAUGUAAAUAGUCCAAGCAAAACUGCACAGUUUGUGCCUUAUGACUAUUGCCUCCAAGCUGCAAAUCUAGCCAAUAGUAUAUCUAAUACAACACAAGGAGUAAUGAGCCCAAGUAAUAACACAGGGAAUGCAUCGACUCUUCCUACUUACACUAGUGGUGGUGGUUCUACUGUGCAGUCCGUUGACAGAGGAUCAACAGUUAGUAAAAGACAAGACUUGGAGGAUUUCUAUUCAAAAUAUUACUUGCAUAACAAAUGCCAUGUUCAACAAAAUCAGCAGUCUGGAAUACAAUCAGGUGAGUCAACACCAAGUCACAGCAGCAGUUCUGGUGCUGCGGGAUCAACCACUGGGUCGCUGCGGUCUUGUCGGAGUGUGCCAGACUUGACUGCAGCUGAAGAUUCAGAAGUAACUAAAUACAGCAGUGGUCUGCAGUCCCAAAAUGAAAGUCGAGGAGUCUCACAUACACCACCUCCACGCCCUUCAAGCACAGGACUUACUGGCCUGGAGGAUUGGAAACCUCUGCCAGAUAUUUCAGGAUUAUCUGAGAUAUCAUCCAAUCAACACCUUUAUCAGUCUUCACCUGUCCAGCAUCCAGCCAUCUCUUCCCUACACACUCCAAUCAAGUCCCGCCUUCCAGACCCCUUUGGGGAACUGACAACAGAUGCUCAGGCCUUAGUCCAGAACAUGGCAGAAAUGGGCUUCCCUCGUCCCCGAGUAGCAAGAGCUGUUCAAAAACUUGGGACAGACCACAAAAAGCUUAUUGAAGUUUUGUUAGAGCUGCAGUCACUUCAAGGGAAUGGAGAAGAUGGCUACAAAGCAGAGCGUGCAUUUUAUCAUUACAUGGGAGAUAUACAGAAAACAAAAGAUCAUUUGGCAGCUGCAAAACAACUUUUGGAUCUUGGCUUUGAAGAGGAGCAGAUUGUGGAUGCCCUCCUGAAGCAUGACAAUGACCGUGAUAAGGCUUUGGAGGAACUCAUUGCUUAGGUAGCAGAGCACUUCAGAGACACCCACACCAUUGUUACUAUGUGCAUACACUCAAUUUCAGUGUAGUAGCCUGUGAGAAAGUAUUUUUGACAUUUCCAACUGAUAUGCAUUCACUUCACAUUGAGCUCAACAGCUGCAAGUCUCCAGUCCUUCACACCAGCAUCCUCCUACUUACUUUUUUAUGUACUCAUAUAGAUUUUACCAUGUAGUUUUCCAUAGUAUUAUUAUUUACCAUGGAUUUAUGUUAUAUUUUGUAGUUUAUAUGUAUUGUCUAUCAUAGUUUUGUAUUCCAGAAGUAUACUUCAUUAUCCUAAGAAUGAUGGGCAGCGAUGAGCUGCUAUAACAUUCUCAUAACUUUGUGAUAUGUGUAAUUCUAUUGAAAACCUACCCAUACUGGGAGCCAUAUAAAAGUUGUACUCUAGAAUUAUUGAGGUUUCUUUGAAUGAUCUCAGGACUUUAAAUAAUAUGUAUCUUCAUAAGA